AUCUACCACUCAUGCAUUCCGGUUCGCCCGCGCCUUCCGCGCCAUCCUGGUGACUGCUCGCCACGUUUUCGUGAGCC
rnacentral:sRNA from 1 species